GCGCCGGUGGCGGAACUGGCAGACGCGCCGGCUUUAGGUGCCGGUGUCUUCGGGCGUGUGGGUUCGAGUCCCACCCGGCGCACAA
rnacentral:tRNA from 4 species